AACGCUGGCGGCGUGCCUAACACAUGCAAGUCGAGCGGAAAUUAGCGGAUGGUAACUGAAGUUAAUUUUAGCGGCGGACGGGUGAGUAACACGUGGGCAACCUGCCUUGAAGUGGGGGAUAACACCGGGAAAUCGGUGCUAAUACCGCAUAACAUACACAUAUCGCAUGGUGAGUGUAUCAAAGGAGAAAUCCGCUUUAAGAUGGGCCCGCGGCUGAUUAGCUAGUUGGUAAGGUAACGGCUUACCAAGGCUCCGAUCAGUAGCCGACCUGAGAGGGUGACCGGCCACACUGGAACUGAGACACGGUCCAGACUCCUACGGGAGGCAGCAGUGGGGAAUAUUGCGCAAUGGGGGAAACCCUGACGCAGCAACGCCGCGUGGAGGAAGAAGGUUUUCGGAUUGUAAACUCCUGUCUUCUGGGACGAUAAUGACGGUACCAGAGGAGGAAGCCACGGCUAACUACGUGCCAGCAGCCGCGGUAAUACGUAGGUGGCGAGCGUUGUCCGGAAUUA
rnacentral:rRNA from 1 species